GGAGAGAUGGCUGAGUGGCCGAAAGCACCAGUUUGCUAAACUGACGUACGGGCAACUGUACCGAGGGUUCGAAUCCCUCUCUCUCCG
rnacentral:tRNA from 1 species